rnacentral:rRNA from 1 species
UACGAAGGGGGCUAGCGUUACUCGGAUUGACUGGGCGUAAAGGGCGCGUAGGCGGAUGGUACAGUCAGACGUGAAAUUCCUGGGCUCAACCUGGGGGCUGCGUUUGAUACGUGCUGUCUGGAGUUCGGAAGAGGGUCGUGGAAUUCCUAGUGUAGAGGUGAAAUUCGUAGAUAUUGGGAAGAACACCGGUGGCGAAGGCGGCGACCUGGUCCGAUACUGACGCUGAGGCGCGAAAGCGUGGGGAGCAAACAGG